rnacentral:lncRNA from 1 species
CCUUUGUGCUAUCUGAAACCUCCAGCAAGAAUGUUUAUGGGACAUGAGGGUUUGAUUCCAUCCUUUGCGUUGCCUAUGACUCCCCAUCAAAAGCAAUAUUUGUGUUUAAAAUUCAAUUACAGAGGAGAGAGAGGCCACAGCAACUAAGUUCAGAACGAGCUCCAACCUCCCCACAGCCUGGGGGUGUGAGGCGCCCAGGGCUAGGCUAGUCUCUGCUAAAGACCAGUGAUGCCAUCAGCCGGCCAUUACACCUGAGUCGUCGUUAAUGAGCUGGAAACAUACAAAUGCCUGGGUGAGUCUGGAGGGCCAUUAGAUUUUCCUGCACAGCUUUUGUUAUUGUCCUUAUGCCAGGACAUGAUUUCUGUCAUGUCACAUGUGGAGUCCCACUAAUGCAUUUUAUUAUUGCAGGGAUCCAACGAACGAAUGAUAAUAGAUAAAUAAGAUACACUAUGACAAGGCUGUGGGUAUGCAAGUACAGAUUGCAGCCGUGUGUCCUUCAGCAUGACGUGUAUGGCCAGUUCUCAUUCGCCCCUUCGCUGCGGGUGUCUCCCUGUGCCACCACUUCGAAGGGAAGCCAUGGAGGUGAGACCGAGUGGGCUACUGAGGAGCAUGGAGAGCGUGUGUUGGCAAGAGGACGCUGGUAACUUGAGCAGCAAUGAUGUGGUUAAUUAGUAAUAAUAACUUGGCAGGUGAGGCACUUCCUCCAUCUUGACGUGAAGUUCCUAUUGGUGUGACUCAGUAUCUAUUGAUUUAUUUAAAGCUACUGAGCUACUAGCAUUAUUUUAAAAAGCAAGCCGUGUGUGGGCAGGGAGCAGUUCUGCAUACCCGUUUGUCUCGGUGACGUGAUGACAACACAUGGCACAAAUUAGGAACCUUCUGAGCAGGUUUGUUUGAAAUGAGAAGAUUGUUGAGAGGAUUCCACAAAAAGAAACACAAUGUUACCUUCUGGGAAACUUUUCUGCCACGGUCUGUGUAUUCCAUCUAGGAUGUCCUGGUCCAAUGCCAGUGUGGGUGCCAACCUGACGACUCUCUACAGCUUCGUUUAUACAUGGCGUGCAUCUUCACUGCCUGUUGUCUAAUCCAGCUAGCUUCUACCCCAGAGAAGGCAACAUUUCAGUGGCCAUUGAAGUGAUUCCAGUAAAGUACAUCAUGAUCUGGUACAUGUGUGCACGUUAAAGAAAUAAUGUGCUUGAUUUUUUAAAGCACAAACUUCUGGCUGAUUUUAUUGCAGACCCUGUCUCUCAUUUCCAUGCCAACUGCAAUCUCCACAGCUCGCUUCCCAAUCCGAGUGUGCAAAGAAUCAAAUACGAAAACCUUGAAUAUCAACCUUUUUGCAUUUCCUUUCAACGUAAUUUUAAAUUGAUCAGUCUUAAAAGAUCCAGCAAAAUGUUCUGGAUUCACUGAAAGUGUCUCAUCCAUUUACAGUCAGAAAUGGACUCCUUUUUUCAAAGCAAAUGUAACGUUUUGAAAUUCAAAAUUUAAUUUGGAUAAAAAUA